GACGAACGCUGGCGGCGUGCCUAAUACAUGCAAGUGGGACGCAAGGAAACACACUGUGCUUGCACACCGUGUUUUCUUGAGUCGCGAACGGGUGAGUAACGCGUAGGUAACCUGCCUAUUAGCGGGGGAUAACUAUUGGAAACGAUAGCUAAUACCGCAUAAUAUUAAUUAUUGCAUGAUAAUUGAUUGAAAGAUGCAAGCGCAUCACUAGUAGAUGGACCUGCGUUGUAUUAGCUAGUUGGUAAGGUAAGAGCUUACCAAGGCGACGAUACAUAGCCGACCUGAGAGGGUGAUCGGCCACACUGGGACUGAGACACGGCCCAGACUCCUACGGGAGGCAGCAGUAGGGAAUCUUCGGCAAUGGACGAAAGUCUGACCGAGCAACGCCGCGUGAGUGAAGAAGGUUUUCGGAUCGUAAAGCUCUGUUGUAAGUCAAGAACGUGUGUGAGAGUGGAAAGUUACACAGUGACGGUAGCUACCAGAAACGG
rnacentral:rRNA from 1 species